rnacentral:rRNA from 1 species
AGAGUUUGAUCCUGGCUCAGGAUGAACGCUGGCGGCGUGCUUAACACAUGCAAGUCGAACGGGAAAUAUUUCAUUGAGACUUCGGUGGAUUUGAUCUAUUUCUAGUGGCGGACGGGUGAGUAACGAGUGGGUAACCUGCCUUAUACAGGGGGAUAACAGUCAGAAAUGGCUGCUAAUACCGCAUAAGCGCACAGAGCUGCAUGGCUCAGUGUGAAAAACUCCGGUGGUAUAAGAUGGACCCGCGUUGGAUUAGCUUGUUGGCGGGGUAACGGCCCACCAAGGCGACGAUCCAUAGCCGGCCUGAGAGGGUGAACGGCCACAUUGGGACUGAGACACGGCCCAGACUCCUACGGGAGGCAGCAGUGGGGAAUAUUGCACAAUGGGGGAAACCCUGAUGCAGCGACGCCGCGUGAAGGAAGAAGUAUCUCGGUAUGUAAACUUCUAUCAGCAGGGAAGAUAGUGACGGUACCUGACUAAGAAGCCCCGGCUAACUACGUGCCAGCAGCCGCGGUAAUACGUAGGUGGCAAGCGUUAUCCGGAUUUACUGGGUGUAAAGGGUGUGUAGGCGGGAAAGCCAAGUCAGAUGUGAAAAAUCAUGGGCUCAACUCAUGACUUGCAUUUGAAACUGGUUUUCUUGAGUAUGGGAGAGGGUAAAAUGGAAUUCCCCGGUGUAGCGGUGAAAAUGCUAAAAAUAUCGGGAGGGAACACCAAGGGCGGAAAGGCGGUUUUACUGGACCCACAACUGACGCUGAUACACGAAAGCGUGGGGGAGCAAACAGGAUUAGAUACCCUGGUAGUCCCCGCCGUAAACGAUGAAUGCUAGGUGUAGGGGCAAUAGCUUCUGUGCCGGAGUUAACACAAUAAGCAUUCCACCUGGGGAGUACGGCCGCAAGGUUGAAACUCAAAGGAAUUGACGGGAGCCCGCACAAGCAGUGGAGUAUGUGGAUUAAUUCGACGCAACGCGAAGAACCUUACCAAAGCUUGACAUCCCGGAAAAAAGCCUAUAAAAAGCUAAUGCCCUUCGGGGAAUCCGGUGACAGGUGGUGCAUGGUUGUCGUCAGCUCGUGUCGUGAGAUGUUGGGUUAAGUCCCGCAACGAGCGCAACCCUUAUGAUCAGUUGCUACGCAAGAGAACUCUGAUCAGACUGCCGUUGACAAAACGGAGGAAGGUGGGGAUGACGUCAAAUCAUCAUGCCCCUUACGCUUUGGGCCUCACACGUACUACAAUGGCGCAAACAAAGGGAAGCAAUGCCGCGAGGCGGAGCAAAUCCCAUAAAAGGCGUCCCAGUUCGGACUGCAGGCUGCAACUCGCCUGCACGAAGUUGGAAUUGCUAGUAAUCGCGGAUCAGCAUGCCGCGGUGAAUACGUUCCUGGGCCUUGUACACACCGCCCGUCA